AGAGUUUGAUCCUGGCUCAGAUUGAACGUUGGCGGCACGCCUAAUACAUGCAAGUCGAACGAGAAAGCACCUUCGGGUGCGAGUAAAGUGGCGGACGGGUGAGUAACGCGUAGGAAUCUACCUUCGGGUGGGGGAUAACUCGGGGAAACUCGAGCUAAUACCGCAUGACAUCCUUCCAUUAGGAAGGAUCAAAGUGGGGGACCUUAGGGCCUCACGCCAGAUGAGGAGCCUGCGUUGGAUUAGCUUGUUGGUGGGGUAAUGGCCUACCAAGGCGACGAUCCGUAGCUGGUCUGAGAGGAUGAUCAGCCACACUGGGACUGAGACACGGCCCAGACUCCUACGGGAGGCAGCAGUGGGGAAUAUUGGACAAUGGGCGCAAGCCUGAUCCAGCCAUGCCGCGUGAGUGAAGAAGGCCUUAGGGUUGUAAAACUCUUUCGCCGGUGAAGAUAAUGACGGUAGCCGGAGAAGAAGCCCCGGCUAACUCCGUGCCAGCAGCCGCGGUAAUACGGAGGGGGCUAGCGUUGUUCGGAAUUACUGGGCGUAAAGCGCGCGUAGGCGGUUUGUUAAGUCGGAUGUGAAAGCCCCGGGCUCAACCUGGGAACUGCAUUCGAUACUGGCAAACUAGAGUAUAGUAGAGGCAAGUGGAAUUCCGGGUGUAGCGGUGAAAUGCGUAGAUAUCCGGAGGAACAUCAGUGGCGAAGGCGACUUGCUGGACUAAUACUGACGCUGAGGAGCGAAAGCGUGGGGAGCAAACGGGAUUAGAUACCCCGGUAGUCCACGCCGUAAACGAUGUCAACUAGCCGUUGGGGGUCUUAGUACCUUUAGUGGCGCAGCUAACGCAUUAAGUUGACCGCCUGGGGAGUACGGUCGCAAGACUAAAACUCAAAGGAAUUGACGGGGGCCCGCACAAGCGGU
rnacentral:rRNA from 1 species